rnacentral:rRNA from 1 species
GAUGAACGCUGGCGGCGUGCCUAAUACAUGCAAGUCGAGCGAACAGAUGAGGAGCUUGCUCCUCUGACGUUAGCGGCGGACGGGUGAGUAACACGUGGAUAACCUACCUAUAAGACUGGGAUAACUUCGGGAAACCGGAGCUAAUACCGGAUAAUAUAUUGAACCGCAUGGUUCAAUAGUGAAAGACGGUUUUGCUGUCACUUAUAGAUGGAUCCGCGCCGCAUUAGCUAGUUGGUAAGGUAACGGCUUACCAAGGCAACGAUGCGUAGCCGACCUGAGAGGGUGAUCGGCCACACUGGAACUGAGACACGGUCCAGACUCCUACGGGAGGCAGCAGUAGGGAAUCUUCCGCAAUGGGCGAAAGCCUGACGGAGCAACGCCGCGUGAGUGAUGAAGGUCUUCGGAUCGUAAAACCCUGUUAUUAGGGAAGAACAAAUGUGUAAGUAACCAUGCACGCCUUGACGGUACCUAAUCAGAAAGCCACGGCUAACUACGUG